GUGCCAGCCGCCGCGGUAAUACGUAGGUGGCAAGCGUUGUCCGGAUUUAUUGGGCGUAAAGCGAGCGCAGGCGGUUUCUUAAGUCUGAUGUGAAAGCCUUCGGCUCAACCGAAGAAGUGCAUCGGAAACUGGGAAACUUGAGUGCAGAAGAGGACAGUGGAACUCCAUGUGUAGCGGUGAAAUGCGUAGAUAUAUGGAAGAACACCAGUGGCGAAGGCGGCUGUCUGGUCUGUAACUGACGCUGAGGCUCGAAAGCAUGGGUAGCAAACAGGAUUAGAUACCCUGGUAGUCCAUGCCGUAAACGAUGAGUGCUAGGUGUAGGAGGGUUUCCGCCCUUCAGUGCCGCAGCUAACGCAUUAAGCACUCCGCCUGGGGAGUACGACCGCAAGGUUGAAACUCAAAGGAAUUGACGGGGGCCCGCACAAGCGGUGGAGCAUGUGGUUUAAUUCGAAGCAACGCGAAGAACCUUACCAGGUCUUGACAUCCUUUGACCACUCUAGAGAUAGAGCUUUCCCUUCGGGGACAAAGUGACAGGUGGUGCAUGGUUGUCGUCAGCUCGUGUCGUGAGAUGUUGGGUUAAGUCCCGCAACGAGCGCAACCCUUAUUACUAGUUGCCAGCAUUUAGUUGGGCACUCUAGUGAGACUGCCGGUGACAAACCGGAGGAAGGUGGGGACGACGUCAAAUCAUCAUGCCCCUUAUGACCUGGGCUACACACGUGCUACAAUGGAUGGUACAACGAGUCGCGAGACCGCGAGGUUUAGCUAAUCUCUUAAAACCAUUCUCAGUUCGGAUUGUAGGCUGCAACUCGCCUACAUGAAGCCGGAAUCGCUAGUAAUCGCGGAUCAGCAUGCCGCGGUGAAUACGUUCCCGGGCCUUGUACACACCGCCCGU
rnacentral:rRNA from 1 species